rnacentral:rRNA from 1 species
GACGAACGCUGGCGGCGUGCUUAACACAUGCAAGUCGAACGGAAAGGCCCUGCUUUUGUGGGGUGCUCGAGUGGCGAACGGGUGAGUAACACGUGAGUAACCUGCCCUUGACUUUGGGAUAACUUCAGGAAACUGGGGCUAAUACCGGAUAGGAGCUCCUGCUGCAUGGUGGGGGUUGGAAAGUUUCGGCGGUUGGGGAUGGACUCGCGGCUUAUCAGCUUGUUGGUGGGGUAGUGGCUUACCAAGGCUUUGACGGGUAGCCGGCCUGAGAGGGUGACCGGCCACAUUGGGACUGAGAUACGGCCCAGACUCCUACGGGAGGCAGCAGUGGGGAAUAUUGCACAAUGGGCGGAAGCCUGAUGCAGCAACGCCGCGUGCGGGAUGACGGCCUUCGGGUUGUAAACCGCUUUCGCCUGUGACGAAUCGUGAGUGACGGUAAUGGGUGAAGAAGCACCGGCUAACUACGUGCCAGCAGCCGCGGUGAUACGUAGGGUGCGAGCGUUGUCCGGAUUUAUUGGGCGUAAAGGGCUCGUAGGUGGUUGAUCGCGUCGGAAGUGUAAUCUUGGGGCUUAACCCUGAGCGUGCUUUCGAUACGGGUUGACUUGAGGAAGGUAGGGGAGAAUGGAAUUCCUGGUGGAGCGGUGGAAUGCGCAGAUAUCAGGAGGAACACCAGUGGCGAAGGCGGUUCUCUGGGCCUUUCCUGACGCUGAGGAGCGAAAGCGUGGGGAGCGAACAGGCUUAGAUACCCUGGUAGUCCACGCUGUAAACGGUGGGUACUAGGUGUGGGGUCCAUUCCACGGGUUCCGUGCCGUAGCUAACGCUUUAAGUACCCCGCCUGGGGAGUACGGCCGCAAGGCUAAAACUCAAAGGAAUUGACGGGGCCCCGCACAAGCGGCGGAGCAUGCGGAUUAAUUCGAUGCAACGCGUAGAACCUUACCUGGGUUUGACAUGGAUCGGGAGCGCUCAGAGAUGGGUGUGCCUCUUUUGGGGUCGGUUCACAGGUGGUGCAUGGCUGUCGUCAGCUCGUGUCGUGAGAUGUUGGGUUAAGUCCCGCAACGAGCGCAACCCUUGUUCACUGUUGCCAGCACGUUAUGGUGGGGACUCAGUGGAGACCGCCGGGGUCAACUCGGAGGAAGGUGGGGAUGACGUCAAGUCAUCAUGCCCCUUAUGUCCAGGGCUUCACGCAUGCUACAAUGGCUGGUACAGAGAGUGGCGAGCCUGUGAGGGUGAGCGAAUCUCGGAAAGCCGGUCUCAGUUCGGAUUGGGGUCUGCAACUCGACCUCAUGAAGUCGGAGUCGCUAGUAAUCGCAGAUCAGCAACGCUGCGGUGAAUACGUUCCCGGGGCU